CGCCUGGGCGGCGCAAGCCGACGGAAAGUGCAACAGAAAGAUACCGCCUACGUCUUCUUCGGAAGGCCGGUAAGGGUGAAAUGGUGCGGUAAGAGCGCACCGCGAGUCUGGCAACAGACCGGUACGGCAAACCCCACCUGGAGCAAGACCAAAUAGGGAUCCAUUGGCGCGGCCCGCGUUGGAUCCGGGUAGGUUGCUUGAGCGUUGCGGCGACGUAACGCCUAGAGGAAUGACUGUCCACGACAGAACCCGGCUUA
rnacentral:misc_RNA from 1 species